UACGUAGGGCGCAAGCGUUAUCCGGAAUUACUGGGCGUAAAGCGUGCGCAGGCGGUUUUGUAAGUCUGUCGUGAAAGCCCCGGGCUCAACCUGGGAAUUGCGAUGGAGACUACAAGGCUUGAAUCUGGCAGAGGGGGGUAGAAUUCCACGUGUAGCAGUGAAAUGCGUAGAGAUGUGGAGGAACACCGAUGGCGAAGGCAGCCCCCUGGGUCAAGAUUGACGCUCAUGCACGAAAGCGUGGGGAGCAAACAGG
rnacentral:rRNA from 1 species